UACGUAGGGACCAAGCGUUGUUCGGAUUUACUGGGCGUAAAGGGCGCGUAGGCGGCGUGGUAAGUCACUUGUGAAAAUCUCUGAGCUUAACUCAGAACGGCCAAGUGAUACUGCUGUGCUAGAGUGCAGAAGGGGCAAUCGGAAGUUCUUGGUGUAGCGGUGAAAUGCGUAGAUAUCAAGAGGAACACCGGUGGCGAAGGCGGGUCUCUGGGCCGUAACUGACGCUGAGGAGCGAAAGCGUGGGGAGCAAACAGG
rnacentral:rRNA from 1 species